UACGGAGGGGGCUAGCGUUGUUCGGAAUUACUGGGCGUAAAGGGCGCGUAGGCGGCGCGUUAAGUUGGGCGUGAAAGGCCCGGGCUCAACCCGGGGACUGCGCUUGAUACUGUCGCGCUGUGAGUCCGGGAGAGGAUGGCGGAAUUCCCAGUGUAGAGGUGAAAUUCGUAGAUAUUGGGAAGAACACCGGUGGCGAAGGCGGCCAUCUGGACCGGCACUGACGCUGAGGCGCGAAAGCGUGGGGAGCAAACAGG
rnacentral:rRNA from 1 species